rnacentral:rRNA from 1 species
CCAAUGGAGAGUUUGAUCCUGGCUCAGGAUAAACGCUGGCGGCGUGCCUUACGCAUGCAAGUCGAACGAAGCCCCCCGCUUCGGUGGGGGUGACUGAGUGGCAAACGGCUGAGUAACGCGUAGGUGAUCUGUCCCGAGGAGGGGAACAACCCGUGGAAACGCGGGCUAAUGCCCCAUACGCCCACCGGAUCGGACCGGUGGGGAAAUGUUCCGGCGCCUUGGGAGGAGCCUGCGUCCGAUUAGCUGGUUGGUGGGGUAACGGCCUACCAAGGCGACGAUCGGUAGCUGGUCUGAGAGGAUGAUCAGCCAGACUGGGACUGAGACACGGCCCAGACUCCUACGGGAGGCAGCAGCGAGGAAUCUUGCGCAAUGGGCGAAAGCCUGACGCAGCAACGCCGCGUGGGUGAUGAAGGCCUUCGGGUUGUAAAUCCCUUUUGCCGGGGAAGAACUUUGACGGUACCCGGCGAAUAAGCCACGGCUAACUACGUGCCAGCAGCCGCGGUAAGACGUAGGUGGCGAGCGUUAUCCGGAUUUACUGGGCGUAAAGCGUACGUAGGCGGCGCCGAAAGUCUGCCGUGAAAUCUCCCGGCUCAACCGGGAGCGGUCGGUGGAAACUUCGACGCUCGAGGGGCGUAGAGGCAAGCGGAAUUCCCGGAGUAGUGGUGGAAUGCGUAGAUACCGGGAGGAACACCAGUGGCGCAAGCGGCUUGCCAGGCGCAUCCUGACGCUGAGGUACGAAAGCGUGGGUAGCGAACCGGAUUAGAUACCCGGGUAGUCCACGCCGUAAACGAUGGAUGCUAGUCGUGGGGGGUAUCGACCCCCUCUGUGACGCAGCUAACGCAAUAAGCAUCCCGCCUGGGGAGUACGGCCGCAAGGCUAAAACUCAAAGGAAUUGACG